CUUGUGCAUGUGUGAGCAUUUCAGUAGUAGUGUGUUUCAUUUUACAUGUGAAAGUGUUUCUGUUGUUCACCUGGCGCAGGCAACGUGGUUUCACAAGUUCUCAUUCAGGGGCAGUAAAUGUGAGUGAAUGGUUGUCUGUUUGGACAGUGAUUGACUGGCGGCCCACCCAUUGUGUAGGACAGGGGUCGGGAACCUAUGGGUCGCGAGCCAUAUAUAGCUCUUUUGGUGACUAUGUCUGGUUCGCGGACAAAUCUGACAUUUGUUGACACAAUCGAAGUCAGAAAUAAUGUUGUUAUAUGAUCAAAGUAAAAAAUAGACCGACUGAGAUCAAAAUGUUAAAUUAGCUUUCAAAAUAUAAAAUAUGAUCACGUUUGCAAUCCAUCCCAUCUGUUUUCUUCCGCUGAAAUCCACGGUUGCGUCAUAUCAGCCAAUCCCAGCUGCCCUUCGGUGUAGAGAAGGGUGACGCUAGGUCGGACAAAAAAAAAGCGCGAUUUCUAUUGGACAACACGGUGCCUACGGGGUCGUGAGAGGUAAAAUUCCAUCCGCUUUAUUUAAAAUUUCAGCUAGCUAGCUGGUGUGUGCCAGGCAAGCAAGAAAGAUGGCGAAGAGAAAAAAAGAUGACGAUUACCGAACAUUUCAGAGUGAGUGGACCGAGCUAGUCAAGCUAGUCAAGCUAGUCAACAUCAACUCCGUGUAGGGACCAGACAAGGUGACUUUAAUUCAGUUAGUUUUGCUGGCGCAUUAGCAAUUGUGAGCAACGGAAAGCCAUUUACUGAUGGUGAAUAUUUCAACAUUUAUGCUUGAUGUGGCAAAUGAACUUUUUGACAACUUCACGGAUAAAGAAAAGAUACUCAAACGGAUAAAAGACAUGCCUCUGUCAGCAAGAACCGUCCACGAUCGGGCCAUUAUGACUGAUGAGCGCCUCAACGCCUGCAUGAAACUCAACCUCACCGCAUAUCAACCGGACUACAAAGCCAUCAGCAAAACAAUGCAGCCCCAGAAGUAUCAUUAAUGGUUCCCGACCCCUGGUGUAGGAAGUCAGCCAGGAUAGGGUAGGCUCCAUUCUCCAAUCAAGAAUGGAUGGAA